AGCUUUGCGCAGUAGCAGUAUCAUAACCCAUGAGGUUAAAUUGAGGGAUGAUUAUUGCUAACUGAAACCAUUUUAUAUAAUUUACUUUUUGUGCAAAACUUUUACAGAACUCACAACACU
rnacentral:snRNA from 1 species